AGUGAACGCUGGCGGUAGGCCUAACACAUGCAAGUCGAACGGCAGCACAGUAAGAGCUUGCUCUUACGGGUGGCGAGUGGCGGACGGGUGAGGAAUACAUCGGAAUCUACUUUUUCGUGGGGGAUAACGUAGGGAAACUUACGCUAAUACCGCAUACGACCUACGGGUGAAAGCAGGGGAUCUUCGGACCUUGCGCGAUUGAAUGAGCCGAUGUCGGAUUAGCUAGUUGGCGGGGUAAAGGCCCACCAAGGCGACGAUCCGUAGCUGGUCUGAGAGGAUGACCACCCACACGGGAGCUGAGACGCGCCCCAACCCCAGACGGGGGGCGGCGUUGGGGAAUAUGGAACAAGGGCGGAAGGCCGUACCCCGCAUUACCGGGGGGGUGAAGAGGCCUUCCGGUUGGAAAACCCUUUUUUUGGGAAAAAAAAGGAAGCGGGUUAACCCCCCGCUUUUUUGACGGUACCAAAAGAAAAAGCCCCGCCAAACUUCGUG
rnacentral:rRNA from 1 species